AACGGUGCCGGCUCUCCCCCCCGGAGCCGGACCGUAAGACGGCCCCCGCUAUCCCCCCGGCGGGGGCCGUCGUCA
rfam:Streptomonospora alba strain YIM 90003 contig_17, whole genome shotgun sequence.